GGAAUUAAGCAAGUCCUGCUUGCCUUUUUCCCACAAGCCUGUGCUAACUGAAUGCUAAUUUUUCGAUAAACCCUACUGGGUCUAGGGGAAAUCUUUAUGAAAUGACUGUCUGACAAGAUGAUCUUAUAAGGUCUCCUAAUGUGCGUAGGAAGAGCAUUGGGUUUAGCAGUCAUUGUCUGCACUGUCAAACUUUGAAGUAGGGAAGGUAAACUUGAGACACCCUUCAAAAUGAGUCACACUAAUUGAAUAACAGUGGCUUAACACUCUUUUUGUCUCUCUCCCUUUCUCUUUUAUUAAUGGCAGACAGAUCAUAUCUGAAAGAAGCACACUCAUCCAGGUUUAACCGUGGCCCGUCAUUCUGCUGAAGGUGACAAACCACAUAGGAAUCCUGAUGCCUUUCCAGUGUGAACCUGUAGUUUUUAAUUCCUAAAGAAAUCAGGACACGAUGACUGGAUUUUAUCUCAGAUGAUCUGUAUUGAAACAUCACCAAGCGUGUUAACUGCCAUGCUGUGGACCCGACAGCUGAUCCUAUCAAAUUACAACGGGAUGCUGAGUCAGUUUCUGAGUGUGAGGACUACAAUUAACCUUGGUUCCUUCGGCCAUGAAUCAAGUCAGAAUAGGGAGAAGGUCUUCAAGAUAAACAGGGGCUGCUGGUUGCCUUUUCUCCUCCAGGAUUUAUGGACGCGUCUCAAUGAAUAG
ensembl:lncRNA